GUGUAAGAGACCACCAGCAUCCCGGGUGACCGGGAUGGCUCGGUAAACCCCACCCGGAGCAAGGCCAAGAGGUGGCUCGGCGCAAGCCGGGCCACUGCGCAGGCGUUCGAGGGCUGCCCGCCCGAUGUCUGCGGGUAGGCCGCACGAACCCGUCGGCGACGGCGGGUCCAGAUGGAUGGUCGCCCACCGGAGCACCGCAAGGUGCCCGGGGACAGGAUCCGGCUUACAGGCCAGCUCGUCCG
rnacentral:RNase_P_RNA from 1 species